CAGCCUGUUCCUUCCGGGGUUUUGGGCUGGAACUGCAGCGCUUAGAGAGCCCGGUGGAAGCUGCUAAAGGCGGAGGCGGGGCUCUGGCGAGUUCCCCUUCCACCUUCCCCCACCCUUCUCUGCCAACCGCUGUUUCAGCCCCUAGCUGGAUUCCAGCCAUUGCUGCAGCUGCUCCACAGCCCUUUUCAGGACCCAAACAGCCGCAGCCGCCGUUCCCAGGAUGGUGAUCCGUGUAUAUAUUGCAUCUUCCUCUGGCUCUACAGCGAUUAAGAAGAAACAACAAGAUGUGCUUGGUUUCCUAGAAGCCAACAAAAUAGGAUUUGAAGAAAAAGAUAUUGCAGCCAAUGAAGAGAAUCGGAAGUGGAUGAGAGAAAAUGUACCUGAAAAUAGUCGACCAGCCACAGGGUACCCCCUGCCACCUCAGAUUUUCAAUGAAAGCCAGUAUCGCGGGGACUAUGAUGCCUUCUUUGAAGCCAGAGAAAAUAAUGCAGUGUAUGCCUUCUUAGGCUUGACAGCUCCACCUGGUUCAAAGGUAUGAUACCCUUUUUUUCCUGCUUUAUAGGUCAUUUUAUUGCUGCUGAACUUUUUUAAUCAGUAAGAUUUUCAUUUUUGUUAAGUAUUCAGAUUAAGUCAGAGACAGUCCUUUAUAGCAAAAAGUGCCUUCUCUGCAUCCACUUAAUUCCUAUUAGGGCAGAAAGAUGUGCAUAACCAAAUGCAUAAACUAUGUGUUUAGCAGGUAGGUAGAGUGACUUCCCCAUCAAGCUGCCCACGGGAGCAAAUUUCUCAUUGACCUACGCACAAAUAAGUGCUUAGCAAUUUUAAAGCCUUCAUUAUUCCAGCUGUCCUGCAUGGUUCUACAUCGACAGUAAGCAUCUUAGUUCAUGGUAAUCUCCUUGGCAGCACUUAUUGUCUUUGUGUGAGAGCAAAUGAUAGAGUCAUCCAUUCAAGUUAAUUAAGAGCAUCUGCAUUGCAAAACUGUUCACUAAAUUGCUCGCCAAAUUCGAGGCUUUUUUCCUGCCAACACAAAUUAAUUUUUUAAGUAGCAGCAUUUUCAGGAGAGACCAAAUAAAGAAAGCAACAAUAAAAUUGUCUGUCUAGUGAGAUGUCCCCAAACUAUCAACUUUAAACAUACUUUUGCCUUUUAUAGUAGUUCUUCACACAAACUGCCUUAAUCAAAAUGCGUGUCUCUUGCUCUAUCAUUUUAUGUUUUGCUCUUAGCAACUAAUUGUAUGUUAGACAGAUUCUUUGAACUCCAAUUCCCUCUCCUAUUUUAAAAAGCUGUGUUAUUGUCUGUUUUCACUAGACAAAAAUUUACUAGUACUAUGUUUAUGUCAUUGUGAAAUGGUUUUCUUGCCGAACUUUCUUUUCCCAUGGAUAAAAUGUUAUAUUUUAGGCUUUGUAUAAUUUGAGCCAUAAGAAAAGUGAGGUAAGGCACUUUUCUUUUUUUUGGGGGGGUUUCUGUGGUACUUCAUUUUUUUUUAUUAUACUUUAAGUUCUAGGGUACAUGUGCACAACGUGCAGCAAACCACCAGGGCAUGUGUAUACCUAUGUAACGAAACUGCAUGUUCUGCACAUGUAACCCAGAACUUAAAGUAUAAUAAUAAAAGAGAAAUGGUAAUACUAAUUUUACUCAAACUAUUCUGAUAAAUAGAGGAGGAGUGAAUAGUUCCAAAAUCAUUCUACAAGGCCAAUAUUACCCUGGUGCCAAAAUCACACAAGGACACAUUAAAAAAAAAAAAAAAAGAAAGAGAGAAAGAAAGGAAGGAAGGAAGGAAGGAAGAAAGGAAAGAAAGAAAGGAAGACUACAGGACAAUAUCUCUGAUGAAUAUUGAUACAAAAUUUUUCAAAAAUAUAUUAGCAAACAGAAUUCAGCACUAUAUUAGAAAGAUCAUUCAUCCUGACCAAGUGAGAUUUUUUUCUGGAAUGCAAUGAUGGUUCAAUAUAUGCAAAUCAACCAAUGUGACACAUUAUAUCAACAGAAUGAAGGAUAACAACCAUAUGAUCAUUUCAAUUGAUGCUGAAAAAGUGUUUGAUAUAACUCAACAUCCUUUCAAGAUAAAAACCAUCAAAAAGACUUAGUAUAGAAGGAACAUACUUCAACACAAUAAAAGCUGUAUAUGGCCGAACCACAGCUAGUAUCAUACUGAAUGAGGAAAAACUGAUUGCCUUUCCUACAAGAUAUGGAGCACUACAUUGAUGCCACUUUCACCACUGUUAUUUAACAUAGUACUGGGAGUCUUAGCUAGAGCAACCAGCCAAGAAAAAUACCUAAAGUUAUCCAAAUUCAAAAUGAAGAAGUCAAAUUAUCCCUGUUUGCAAAUGAUAUGAUAUGGAAUUCAAAGAGUUUUAAAGACUUCACCAAAAAACUAUUAGGACUGAUAAACAAAUUCAGUAAAGUUGCAGGAUGCAAAAUCAACAUACAAAGUCAAUAGCAUUUCUAUAUGUCAACAGCAAAUAAUAUGAAAAAGAAAUAUAAGAAGUAAUUCCAUUUACAAUAGCCACAAAUAAAAUUAAAUACCUAGGAAUUAACCAAAGAUCUUAAAGUUUUCUACAAUGAAAAUGUAGAACAUUGAUGAAAGAAAUUGAAGACGACACAAAAAAUUGAAAAAAUAUUCCAUGUUCAUGGAUUGAAAUAAUCAAUAUCAUUAAAAUGUUCAUACUGUUCAAAACAAUCUGCAGAUUCAAUUAAUGUAAAAAUAUCAAUGACAUUCUUCACAGAAAUAAAAAAAAUUCUAAAAUUCAUAGGUAACCACAAAAGACCCAGAAUAGCCAUAGCUAUCCUAAGUGUAAAGAACAAAACUAGAGGAAUCACAUUACCUGACUUCAAAUUAUAAUACAGAGCUAUACUAAUCAAAACAGCACGGUACUGGCAUAAAAACAAACACAUAAACCAAGGUGACAGAAUAGAGAACCCAGAAACAAAUCCUCACACCUACAGUGAACUCAUUUUUGACAAAGGUGCCAAGAACAUACACUAGGGAAAAGAGAGUCACUUCAAUAAAUGGUGCUGGGAAAACUGGACAUCCAUAUGCAGAAGAAUAAAACUUGACCCCUAUCUCUUGCCAUAUACAAAAACCAUUUCACAAUAAAGACUUAAAUGUAAUACCUCAAACUAUGAAAUGACUACAAGAAAACACUGUAGAAACUCUCCAGGACAUUGGUCUGGGCAAAAAUUUCUUGAGAAAUACCCCAAAAGCACAGGCAACGAAAGUAAUCAUGGACAAAUGGGAUCAUAUCAAGUUAAAAAGUUUCUUCACAACAAAGGAAACAAUAAACAAAGCGAAGAGACAACCCAAAGAAUGGGAGAAAAUAUUUGCAAACUACCCAUCUGACAGGGGAUCGGUAACGAGCAUAUAUGAGAGGCUCAAACCACUCUAUAGGGGCCAUGCAUGGUGGCUCACACCUGUAAUCCCAGCACUUUGGGAGACUAAGACGGGCAGAUCACUUGAGGCUAGGAGUUUGAGACCUGCCUGACCAACAAGGUGAAACCCCGUCUCUACUAAAAAUACAAAAAUUAGCUGGGAGUAGUGGCACACAUCUGUAAGACAUGCUUCUCAGGAAGCUGAGACACGAAAAUCACUUGAACCCAAAAGGUGGAGGUUGCAGUGAGCCAAUUUUGUACCACUGCACUUCAGCCUGGUUGACAGAGUGAGACUGUCUCAAACAAACAAAAAACAACUCUAUAGGAAAAAUUCUAACAAUCCAAUUAAAACGUAGGCAAAAUAUUUGAAUAAUCAUUUGUCAAAAGAAGACAUACGAGUUGCAAACAGAUGUGAAAGUGUGCUAAACAUCACUGAUCAUUAGAGAAAUGCAAAUAAAAACUACAAUGAGAUAUAAUCUCACCUCAGUUAAUAUGGCUUUUAUCCAAAGGUCAGGCAAUAAUACAUGCUGGUAAGGAUGAGGAGAAAAGGGAUCAUUCGUGCAAUGUUGGUGGGAAUGUAAAUUAAUACAGCCACUAUACAGAACAGUCUGGAGGUUCCUCAAAAAACUAAAAGUAGAACUACCAUAUGAUUCAGCAAUCCUACUGCUGGGUGUAUACACUAAAAAAAGCAAAUCAGUAUAUCAAAGAGAUAUCUGCAAUCUCAUGUUUGUUGCCACACUGUACAUAAUAGCCAAGAUUUGGAAGUAACCUAAGUGUCUAUGAACAGAUGAGUGGGUUAGGAAAAUGUGGUACUUAUACACAAUAGAGUAGUAUUCAGCCAUAAAAAAGAAUGAGAUCCAGUCAUUUGCAACAAAAUGGAGAGAACUGGAGAUUACUAUUUUAAGUGAUAUAAGCCAAGAACAGAAAGACAAUUACCACGUUCUCACUUAUUUGUGGAUCUAAAAAUCAAGAAAUUGAACUCAUGGCGAUAGAGAAUAGAAAGAUGGUUACCAGAGGUUGAGAAAGGUAGUGGGAGAUUGAGAAGUGGGGUUGGUUAAUGGCACAAAAAACAGAAACAAUGAGUAAGGUCUAGUAUUUGAUACCAAAACGUGAGGACUACAGUCAAAAAUAAAUUAAUUGUAUACUUUAAAAUAACUAAUAACAUAAUAAUUAUGUUGUUUAUAAUACAAACAAUACAUACUGGAGUUAUGGAUACCCCAUUUACGCAGAUGUGAUUAUUAUCCAUUACAUGCCUGUAUCAAAACAUGUCAUAUACCCCACAAAUAUAUAUAUACCUACUGUGUACAUACAAAAAUUCAAAAUAAAAAAACACAACAAAAUACUGGCUACGUAGCAAUGUUAGGUCCUUAGAGGAAAAAGGAUUUCAUGUUAGGUCAUUUUUUCAUUAUUAUACAACUGCUUCUCCAACUAUGUAUGCUAUGUCUUUGAGGGGUCUUAGUAUAAAUUAUUUUUUGAAUUAUGUGUAGAAACUCUUGAAAGCUUGUUCUAUAAAAUGAAGCAAGACGCAUACUGUGACUUUAAGACAUAUUCAUUUUGACAUCUAAACACUAUUAAAGCUUCAAAAGAACUUAGGGACUUUUCCUUUUUUGACUAGGCAUUUACAAAGGUGAAUGUAUUAGUUCAUUCUCACACUGCUAUAAACAACUACCCGAGACUGGGUAAUUUAUAAAGAAAAGAAGAUUAAUUUACUUACAGUUCCAUAGGGUGUGAAGCAGGCAUGGCUUGGGAGGCCUCGGGAAACUUACAAUCAUGGUGGAAGGCAAAGGAGAAGCAAGCACAUCUUCACUUGUUGGCAGGAGGGAUGGAGUUAGGUGCUACACACUUUUAGAGAAGCAGAAAUAAGGGGAUGGUGCUAAACCAUUAGAAACCACCCCCCAUGAUCCAAUCAGCUGUCACCAGGCCCCUCCUCCAACAAUGAGAAUUACAAUUUGACAUGAGAUUUGGGUGGGGAUGCAGAGCUGAACCAUAUCAUCAUGCCUCUGGCCCCUCCCAAAUCUCAUGUCCUUUUCACAUUGCAAAAUACCGUCAUCUCUUCUCAACAGUCUUCCAAAGUCUUAACUCCUUUCGGCAUUAACUUAACAGUCCAAGUCCAAAGUCUCAUUUGAGAUGAGGCAAGUUCCUUUUUCCUAUAAGCCUGUAAAAUAAAAACAAGUUAGUUACUUCCAAGAUACAGUAGGAGUACAGGCAUUAGGUAAAUGCUCCUAUUACAAAAGGGGGAAAUUGGCCAAAACUGACAAAAUUGCUCUAUGUAAGACUGAAACCAAGUAGGACAAUUAUUACAUCUUAAAGUUUCAAAAUAAUCUUCUUUGACUCCAUGUCUCACAUCCAGGGCACGCUCAUGCAAGGGAUGUGAUCCCAGGGCCUUGGGCAGCUCUGAUCCUGCAGCUUUGCAGGGUACAGCCUUGGCAACUGCACUCAUGGGCUGGUGAUGAGUGCCUGUGGCUUUACCAGGUCCACGGUGCAAGCUGUGAGUGGAUCUACCAUUCUGGGGCCUGGAGGCAGUGGCCCCUUUCUCACAGUUACACUAGGUAGUACCCCAGUGUGGCCUCUGUGUGGGGGCUCCAACCCCACAUUUUCUCUCAGCACUGCCCCAGUAGAGGUUCUGCAUGAGGGCUCCAUGCUUGCAGCAGACUUCUGCCUGGACAUCCAGGUAUUUUCCUACAUCCUCUGAAAGCUAGGCUGUGACUCCCAAGCUUCAACUCUUGCCCGCUGUACACCCACAGCCUCAACACCAUGUGGAAGUCCCCAAGGCUUGUAGCUUCCAUCAUCUGGAGCAGUGGCCUGACACAUAUCUGAGGCUCUUUUAGCCAUGGCUGUAGCUGGAGUGGCUGGAACAUGAGUUGCCAUAUCCUGAGGCUGCACAGAGCAGUGGAGCUCUGUGCCUGUCCCACGAAACCAUUUUACUAUUCUAGGCCUCUGGGCUUUUGAUGGCAGGGGCUGCCAUGAGGGCCUCUGAAAUGCCCUGGAGGCAUUUUCUUUAUUGUCUUGGCUAUUAACAUUCAGCUCCCUUUACUUAUGCAAAUUUCUGCAGUCAGCUUGAAUUCCUUCCCUGAAAAUGGGUUAUUAUUUUCUACCAUAUGGUUAGGUUUCAAAUUUUCCAAACUUUUAUUCUCUGCUUCCCUUUUCAAUGUAAGUUGCAAUUCCAGACCAUUUCUUUGUGAAUGUAUAUGAGCUAUGCUGUUAGAAGCAGCCAGGCUACAUCUUGAACACUUUGCUCCUUAGAAGUUUCUUCCACCAGAGACCCUAAAUCAGGGAUGUCCAAUCAUUUGGCUUCCCUGGGCCACAAUGGAAAAAGAAGAAUUGUCUUGGGCCACACAUAAAAUACAAUGACACUAGUGAUAGCUGAUGAACUAAAAAAAAUUGCAAAAAAAAAAAAUCUCAUAAUGUUUUAAGAAAGUUUAUGACUUUGUGUUGGAUCACUGAUAUGGUUUGGCUCUGUGUCUGCAUCCAAAUCUCGUCUUGAAUUGUACUCCCAUAAUUCCCACGUGCUGUGGGAGAGACUCAGUGGGAGAUAAUUUGAACCAUGGGAGCAGUUUCCCCCAUACUGUUCUAGUGGUAGUGAAUAAGUCUCAUGAUCUGAUAGAUUUGUCAGAGGUUUCUGCUUUUGCAUCUUUCUCAUUUUCUCUUGCUGCCACCAUGUAAGAAGUGCCUUUCUCCUCCCCCAUGAUUUUGAGGCCUCUUCAGCCAUGUGGAACUGUAAGUCUAAUUAAGCAUUUUUUUUUUCUUCCCAGCCUCGGGUAUGCCUUUGUCAGCAGGGUGAAAACAGACUAAUACAGUAAAUUGGUACCAGCGCAGUGGAGUGUUGCUGAAAAGAUACUUAAAAAUGUGGACGUGGCCAGGUGCACUGGCUCAUGCCUGUAAUCCCAGCACUUUGGGAGGUCGAGGCAGGUGGAUCACUUGAGAUCAGGAGUUCAAGACCAGCCUGGCCAACAUGGUGAAACCCUGUCUCUACUAAAAAUACAAAAAGUAGCUGGGCAUGGUGGCAUGUGCCUGUAGUCCCAGCUACUUGGGAGGCUGAGGCAGGAGGAUCACUUGAACCAGGGAGGUGGAGGUUGCAGUGAGCCGAGAUUGCACCAUGGCACAAAAACCUGGGUGAUAGAGUGAGAUUCCAUCUCAAAAAAAAUGUGGAAGUGACUUUGUAACUGGGUAACAGGCAGAGGUUGGAACAGUUUGGAGGGCUCAGAAGAAGACAGGAAAAUGUGGGAAAGUUUGGAACUUCCUAGAGACUUACUGAAUGGCUUUGACCAAAAGCUUGAUGGUGAUACGGACAAUAAGGUCCAGGCUGAGGUGGUCUCAGAUGGAGAUGAAGAACUUGUUGGGAACUGGAGCAAGGUGACUCUUGAUAUGUUUUAGCAAAGAGACUGGUGGUAUUUUGCCCCUGCCCUAGGGAUUUAUAGAACUUUGAACUUGAGAAAGAUGGUUUAGGGUAUCUGGUGGAAGAAAUUUUGAAGCAGUAAAGCAUUCAAGAGGUGACUUGGGUGCUGUUAAAGGCAUUCACUUUCAUAAGGAAAGCAGAGCAUAAAAGUUUGGAAAAUUUGCAGCCUGACAAUGUAAUAGAAAAGAAAAGCCCAUUUUCCGAGAAGAAAUUCAAACUGGCUGCAGAAAUUUGCAUAAGUAAUGAGGAGCCAAAUAUUAAUCCCCAAGAAAAUGGGGAAAAUGUCUCCAGGGCAUGUCAGAGGUCUUCGCAGCAGCCCCUUCCAUCACAGGCUCAGAGGCCUAGGAGGAAAAAAUGGUUUUGUGGUUCAGACCCAGUGUCCACAUACUGUGUGCAGUCUAGGGACUUUGUACCCUGUGUCCCAGCCACUCCAGCCAUGACUAAAAGGGGCCAAAGUACAGCUUGUGCCAUGGCUGUGGUGGGCACAAGCCCCAAGCCCUGGCAACUUCCACGUGGUGUUUAGCCUGUGGGUGCACAGAAGUCAAGAAUUGAGGUUUGGGAAUCUCUGCCUAGAUUUCAGAGGAUGUAUGGAAAUGCCUGGAUAUCCAAGCAGAAGUUUGCUGCAGAGGUGGGGCUCUCAUGGAGAACCUCUGCCAGGUCAGCGCGGAAGGGAAAUGUGGAGUUGGAGCCCCCACACAGAGUCCCUACCGGGGCACCACCUAGUAGAGCUGUGAGAAGAGGGCCACUGUCUUUCAGACCCCAGAAUGGUAGAUCCACUGACAGCUUGCACCAUGUGCCUGGCAAAGCUGCAGACACUCAACACCAGUCUGUGAAAGGGUCUGGGAGGGAGGCUGUACCCUGCAGAGCCAGAGGGGCAGAGCUGCCCAAGACCGUGGGAACCUACCUUUUGCAUCAGUGUAACCUGGAUGUGAGACAUGGAGUCAAAGGAGAUCAUUUUGGAGCUUUAAGAUUUGACUGCCCUGCUGGAUUUUGAACUUUCAUUGGGCCUGUAGCCCCUUUGUUUUGGCCAAUUUCUCCCAUUUGGAACAUCUGUAUUUACCCAAUGCCUGUACCACCAUUGUAUCUAGGAAGUAAUGAACUUGCUUCUGAUUUUACAGGCUCAUAGGCAGAAGGGACUUUACUUGUUUCAGAUGAGAUUUCAGACUGUGGAUUUUUGGUUUAAUGCUGAAAUGAGUUAAGACUUUGUGGGACUUUUGGGAAGGCAUGAUUAGUUUUGAAAUGUGAGGACAUGAGAUUUGGAGAGGCCAGGGGUAGAAUGAUAUGGUUUGUCACUUUGUUCUCACCCACAUCUCAUCUUGAGUUUUAUUUCUAUAAUUUUCACCUGUUUUGAGAGGGACUCGUUGGGAGAUAGUUUAAAUCAUGAAGGCAGUUUCCCCCAUACUGCUUUUGUGGUGGUGAAUAAAUCUCACCAGACCUGUUGGUUUUAUCAGGCGUUUUCACUUUUGCAUCUUCCUCAUUUUCUCUUGCUGCCUCCACUUAAGAAGUGUCUUUCACCUUCCGCCAUGAUUCUGAGGUCUCCCCAGCCAUGUGGAACUCUAAGUCCAAUUAAACCUCUUUUUCUUCCUAGUCUUGGGUAUGUCUUUAUGAGCAGCAUGAAAACAGACUAAUACAGCCACAUUCAAAGCUCUCCAGGGCAGCAUGCAGCCCACAGACCACAGGUUUGACAAGCUUGCCCUAAAUCAUCUCUCUCAAGUGCAAAGUUCAACAGAUCCCUCGAGCUGUGGCACAGUGUCACCAGUCUCUUUGCUGAAGCACAGUAGUUGUGACCUUUACUCCAGUUUCAAAUAAGUUCUUCAUCUUCAUCAGAGACCACUUCAGUAUGGACCUUAUUGUCCAUGUCACUAUCAGCAUUUCGGUCAUAACAAUUUAACAAUUCUCUAGGAAGCUCCAAACUUUCCAUCAUCUUUCUGCCUUCUUCUGAGCCCUCCAAAUUGUUCCAACAUUUCCUCCAAAGUUGCUUCCACAUUUUCAGGUAUCUUUAUAGUAAUAGCCCACCUCUGGUACCAAUUUUAUAUAUUAGUUCAUUCUUACACUGCUAUAAAGAACUUUUUGAGAUUGGACAAUAUAUAAAGAAGAAAGAGGUUUAAUUGACCCACAGCUCCAAAGACUGUACAGGAGCCAUGGCUGGGGAGGCCUCAGGAAACUUACAAUCAUGGCAAAGGGUGAAGGGGAAGGAAGCGCGUCCUCGCAUGGUGGCAGGAGAGAGAGGGAGAGGUGCUACAAACUUUUAGACAAGCAGCAGUAGGAGGAUGAUGCUAAACCAUUAGAAACCGCCCUCAUGAUCAAAUAUCCUCCCAGCAGGCUGCUCCUCCAACACUGGGAAUUGCAAUUUGACAUGGGAUUUCAGUGGGGACGCAGAGCCAAACCAUAUCACUGAGUCAGUAGUAUAUUUCAUUAUUUUUUUAAGGUAGUAUAUGUCAUUUUUUUUCAUUACUUUUUCAAAGUAUAUUUGAAGAAUGAAUUUUGGUGUCAUUUCAUAUUUUCUUCUUUCCUUUACUUUUGCCUUUUUUUGGGUAAAAAUCUAGUGUCUCUUUUAGCUUUUCUCACUUCUUUUGCAUGUAAUACUGGGACUCAUUUGGACAGCAUCAGUCCUCCUGAGACUGUCAAGUAUUGAUUUAGUGACAGGUGUUUAGAAUGAUGUUGUCUACCACGCUUGAUUUCUACAACUUAAGUCUGAUGUUUCCUUUUCUGGAGUCAAUCUUGCCACCCAUCUUUAGUUCAACAAACUUUCCUUGAAGUUUAUUUUGUGUCCAGUAUUAUGUUGAGCACCAGAGCACACAUGUAGGUCAGAGUUCCUAUGCUAGAGGUGAGUACCUCACUAUACAGAGGAGAAGGAAGAAAACCUGAUUUUUUGGUGUGUAUUUUAUCAUAAAACAUGAAAACUACAAUAUUUUAAUGGACAGCACAUUUUCUAAGUAAUUUAAACCUUAAUUAACCAAAACUCAACUGAUUUUAAACUUAAGUAACCAUGUUUUUGUAUACUCAAUUUUCAUGAAAAAAUCACACAAAAAGGAAACUAGCUGACUAUUUUUAAGUAAAAUAUCAAUUAUAGCUGUAUAUCACUUGCUUUCAUGGAAGUAUUCCAAAUCAUUAGGAAUGAUUAGGUAGUCUUUUUGUAUAUCUGUUUCUAGAAAUCUGUUUGUAUUAUAUAGUUUUUCUAUUAAGAACUUUUUAAGAAAUCUCUUCUGGGGGCUUUUGUUUAUUCUUAGUAGUUGGAACUAAUGUAGUCUAACUAAAAUACACAUGCGUGUCUGCUCUGUGAUGU